rnacentral:rRNA from 1 species
CAGAUAGCAUGCCAUGUCUAAGUAUAAGCAAUUAUACCGUGAAACUGCGAAUGGCUCAUUAAAUCAGUUAUCGUUUAUUUGAUAGUACCUUACUACUUGGAUAACCGUGGUAAUUCUAGAGCUAAUACAUGCUAAAAACCCCAACUUCGGGAGGGGUGUAUUUAUUAGAUAAAAAACCAAUGCCCUUCGGGGCUCCUUGGUGAUUCAUAAUAACUUAACGGAUCGCAUGGCCUUGCGCCGGCGACGGUUCAUUCAAAUUUCUGCCCUAUCAACUUUCGAUGGUAAGGUAUUGGCUUACCAUGGUUUCAACGGGUAACGGGGAAUUAGGGUUCGAUUCCGGAGAGGGAGCCUGAGAAACGGCUACCACAUCCAAGGAAGGCAGCAGGCGCGCAAAUUACCCAAUCCCGACACGGGGAGGUAGUGACAAUAAAUACUGAUACAGGGCUCUUUUGGGUCUUGUAAUCGGAAUGAGUACAAUUUAAACCCCUUAACGAGGAACAAUUGGAGGGCAAGUCUGGUGCCAGCAGCCGCGGUAAUUCCAGCUCCAAUAGCGUAUAUUAAAGUUGUUGCAGUUAAAAAGCUCGUAGUUGAACCUUGGGCCUGGCUGGCCGGUCCGCCUCACCGCGUGUACUGGUCCGGCCGGGCCUUUCCUUCUGGAGAUCCUCAUGCCCUUCACUGGGUGUGUUGGGGAACCAGGACUUUUACUGUGAACAAAUUAGAGUGUUCAAAGCAGGCCUUUGCUCGAAUACAUUAGCAUGGAAUAAUAGAAUAGGACGUGCGGUCCUAUUUUGUUGGUUUCUAGGACCGCCGUAAUGAUUAAUAGGGAUAGUCGGGGGCAUCAGUAUUCAAUUGUCAGAGGUGAAAUUCUUGGAUUUAUUGAAGACUAACUACUGCGAAAGCAUUUGCCAAGGAUGUUUUCAUUAAUCAGUGAACGAAAGUUAGGGGAUCGAAGACGAUCAGAUACCGUCGUAGUCUUAACCGUAAACUAUGCCGACUAGGGAUCGGGCGAUGUUUCUAUCUUGACUCGCUCGGCACCUUACGAGAAAUCAAAGUUUUGGUCUGGGG